UUGUUAGUAAAUAUUUAUUUAUUAUUAUUUAUAUUAUUAUAUAAAUAUUAGCCUAUCCAAUAAGUACAUGUAUUUUCUACAUGGAUACCAAGUUUCAAGUCAAUCGGAUGAAUGGUUCAGUAGUUAUAACGGAACAUCCGUAAAAACCACUAGGGGAAAGUGGGGGAAACGCGAACGCUGGGUAAUGCCGAAUUCAAUGGUUCUAAUAUGUUAGAAAGAUAUAUCCUAAUUUUAUUUGCCGCCAUUUCGGAGAUCACGCCACCACUGAUGCCAGUCAAUAACACGGGAGACGCGGACACACGUACUUAAAAAGAUGCCUUGUACUUACAAAAGAAAGACCGAACUGAAGUAAAGUUUAAAAGAUCUCAAAAAGGCUAUAGACGAUGUUAAAACCAAAAACUCCCUGCGUAAAGCAGCAGAAACAUAUAAUGUUCCAAAAACCACUAAUUUUGACCAUCUAAUGAAAGAAGUGUUAAUACAGCCAUGGUUGGAUGAAAACCUUUAUUUACAGACGAUCAGGAAACGUAAGAAAUCAAGAAGAAAACGGAAAGAUGGCAAAAAAGGAACCCAAAUAAAAGACUGAAAUGUAAUGAGAGAACACCUACAAACAAGAAGUAUGAAAUAUUAUUAAAAAAUUUGAACAAUAUAAAAAAAUACUUUAGUGACUCUAGUCAAAAUACGAAAAAAAAAAGAAAAAGGCGAAAAAGAAAAUAAAGACUACUUUUGUAUUUUUUGUAGAGAUAAAUAUAUUGAUCCUCCCGUUGAAGACUAGAUUGUGUGCUAUGUGUGCAAAAAAUGGGCUCACGAGAGUUGUACUGACGGACAGUCAACAUCGUUGGGUUUUAAAUGUGAUCUAUGUCGUUAAUAAUGUUGGUUCGUAAUCACCCCACUUGGUGUUCGUAUUUACCCGACUGAUGUCGGGCAAAGCCGAACACUAAGGGUUUUGUUUUUCUUUCAUAUUGUUGCAGUUUAUUAAAAAAAUAUAAAUGAUGAUUAGUGAAUAAGUUAGACAGAUAAGUAAACUUUAUAAUAAAAAAAAAUUAAAAAAUCUAUGAUUAAA